ACUCAAAUGAAUUGACGGGGACCCGCACAAGCAGCGGAGCAUGUGGUUUAAUUCGAAGCAACGCGAAGAACCUUACCAGGGCUUGACAUCCCCCUGACAGCCCCCUAGCAGGGGCCUCCCUCGGGCAGGGGAGACAGGUGGUGCAUGGUUGUCGUCAGCUCGUGUCGUGAGAUGUUGGGUUAAGUCCCGCAACGAGCGCAACCCUUGUCGCCAGUUGCCAUCAUUAGGUUGGGCACUCUGGCGAGACUGCCGGGGAUAACUCGGAGGAAGGUGGGGACGACGUCAAAUCAUCAUGCCCCUUAUGUCCUGGGCUACACACGUGCUACAAUGGCCGGUACAAAGAGCAGCGAGACCGCGAGGUGGAGCAAAUCUCAAAAACCGGCCCCAGUUCGGAUUGCAGGCUGAAACUCGCCUGCAUGAAGUCGGAGUUGCUAGUAAUCGCAGAUCAGAAUGCUGCGGUGAAUGCGUUCCCGGGUCUUGUACACACCGCCCGU
rnacentral:rRNA from 1 species